UACGGAGGGGGCUAGCGUUGUUCGGAAUUACUGGGCGUAAAGCGCACGUAGGCGGCUUUGUAAGUUAGAGGUGAAAGCCCAGGGCUCAACCCUGGAAUUGCCUUUAAGACUGCAUCGCUUGAACAUCGGAGAGGUAAGUGGAAUUCCGAGUGUAGAGGUGAAAUUCGUAGAUAUUGGGAAGAACACCGGUGGCGAAGGCGGCGACCUGGUCCUUGACUGACGCUGAGGCGCGAAAGCGUGGGGAGCAAACAGG
rnacentral:rRNA from 1 species